UACGGGGGGGGUAAGCGUUGUUCGGAAUUACUGGGCGUAAAGGGCUCGUAGGUGGCCAACUAAGUCAUACGUGAAAUCCCUCAGCUUAACUGGGGAACUGCGUCUGAUACUGGAUGGCUUGAGUUUGGGAGAGGGAUGCGGAAUUCCAGGUGUAGCGGUGGAAUGCGUAGAUAUCUGGAGGAACACCGGUGGCGAAGGCGGCAUCCUGGACCAAUACUGACACUGAGGAGCGAAAGCCAGGGGAGCAAACGGG
rnacentral:rRNA from 1 species